GUUUCGUUUCUCAAUGGUGGUUAAGGGAGGCUCGGGUGCACUAAUUAGAGAAAUAAUGAUACAAAGAAGUGGCCCAACUUUAUGUUGGUGAAGCAAAUAGCUUUUGCAUCUUCGGAAUGAUGAAAGGAUGAUUAAAAAAACACAGUUUUGGUGUCCAUGAAAGACACCUUAACAAUUUGAUUUUAAGCCAUGAGUUAUCCUCACCUUCAUCGCUUCUCUCACACGUUGCAAGGAAUAGUAGGAAAUUUUAAAAGCCUGGAAACUAGGAAGCAAAAGGUUUAAAGGGAAUCCCAAUCAUGAUCACAUUGUCCAGGCCAACAAAGAAAAGCAGUCAACAAGAGGAAAAGCAAAGGGUGGAGUGUAUAAACAAAGGAAAAGUGAGGAGAAGAUGGGGUCUGCUGUCAGAUUGUAGGUAACUGGAUGUGGAUUUUCUUUUGCUUUUGUUAUAUCACUUUUGAUGGCUUCUAUGAUUAGGCAGUAACAAAUAUUCUUGGGAUCAUUUCACAAACAAAACUGUGCAUAAAAAGCAAUGAUUGGAACAAACAAUCUUAACUUUUAGACCGAAUACUGAAAUUUUGUUAAAUUGAUGAAUCAUGUUGAUAAAGGAUCCUAACUAAACAGGGAAAGAAAGAGCAUCAGAAGAAAACAAAUGGCUUAAUCCAGUUUUUGGUCCCUAUCCUUUGUCAUAAAUAUGGCUUUAGUCCUUCACCGGAGCAAAGGUGGGGAUUGGUCCCCAAUUUUUUGUAAAAUAGAUGGCUUUGGUCCUUCCGACCGGUUUGGUCAACACCAGAGCUCCGGAAAGCUCAUGUGGCAUUGCCACGUCAUUUAAUGAGCUUAGGUGGAAUUUUUAUUUAUUUUUUAUUGAAAUUAUUAAAAAAAAUUAAUUAACCCCAGUAAUUAAUGUCCCUAAUUAACCUCAUAUAUUAUUUAAAUAAAAUCAUUGAAAAGGGGAAAUUCAACAAAAUCCUUUUGCAAUACCCAGAACUCCAAUGCCACAACAUCAUAACUCUAACCCAUGAACUCCCCAAAUCUAAUAAACUACCCAAAGACACGAUAUUCAUCAAGAACCACCAACCUUCUAUUUCCCCUUCCUUCAUGAAAUCCUUUUGCAAUACUCAGAACUCCAAACCCUCCACCUCCUCCACGCGGGUAUGGGUAAAGGCUGGAUAUUUACAUCAAAAGGAACACGAAUCUUCUAUCAGCCAUCACCAUCUUGACGUUGUGUUGAAAGAACAUCAGGCUUGCAGAGAACGGUGGUGAUAGUGGACGAGAUCGAGGACCUGAAGCGCGGAUCUGAACCUCGCGCGAUGAAGGCGUCAGUUUGGUGGUGACAGAUCUGAGCUUUUGAAGCGCUGGAUCUUUGGUUGGUGUCUAUGGAUUCUGUUCUUGAGUAUCUGUUGGUGCUGUGAUUCUCCUAGCUGGGCGUGGUUGUUGCUUGUGAGAGUGCGGCAGGUUUUGUUGGACGAAGACAUAAGCUACCUCUUCUUGGAUAUUAUGUGGAAGAAAAAAAAAUUUAUGUGGAGGCCCUCACGCUGUGCUCCAUUUUCUUUUUCUUGUGUUAUGCUUCCUCUGUUUUACCCCUGUAACUAUGCUUCUAUUUUUCUUCCUGUUUUUUAAUCUUGGUCACUGACCUUGAUUUUUUCUUGUAUUUGCUUGAUGGGAGGCACCCUUUUAGUUUCGAUUCUAGUUUUGAUUUUGAUGUGUAGUUUCACCGUUCUUUUCGAUUUUGAUUUGAAGAAUGGAUAUGAAAAUAUUUUA